CUUCUUCGAUAUCAGUAUCAAAGAUUGUUAAUAAGAUAAAGCUGACCUCCGCAUUUCUGAUUUCAGCGGCAGUACUCGCGGUUUUAAUUGUCGUGAAGCCCGCGGAUUCUUGUCCACUCCGUCAAGAGUAAAAACUGGAACACACUGGUGGACAUAACUUGUAGUAACAAACAUAGAUGAACCUUACGAAGAUGACACCUGGAAAAUGGAACGGACAACCAUUCGCAGACAGGAGAACACUUUUCAGCCCAUCGACAGCCAUUAUCAUAAGAUUAUAGAUUACGAAAAAAAUCGUGUUGAAGAUUAUCGCAUUAAUAAACCGGGAAGGGAGUCUCACCGCUGGAUAAAUACUGAUGAAAACACUGUUACUCACGAUUUUAAACGAACUUGGAAACCUGCAUUUUAAUCAGAAAGAAAUAAUUUUGAAAAAUC